GGUCAAGGAUGGACUCGCGGCCUAUCAGGUUGUUGGUGAGGUAACGGCUCACCAAGCCUACGACGGGUAGCCGGCCUGAGAGGGUGACCGGCCACACUGGGACUGAGACACGGCCCAGACUCCUACGGGAGGCAGCAGUGGGGAAUAUUGCACAAUGGGCGAAAGCCUGAUGCAGCAACGCCGCGUGAGGGACGACGGCCUUCGGGUUGUAAACCUCUUUUAGCAGGGAAGAAGCGAAAGUGACGGUACCUGCAGAAAAAGCACCGGCUAACUACGUGCCAGCAGCCGCGGUAAUACGUAGGGUGCAAGCGUUAUCCGGAAUUAUUGGGCGUAAAGAGCUCGUAGGCGGUUGGUCGCGUCUGCUGUGAAAUCCCGAGGCUCAACCUCGGGUCUGCAGUGGGUACGGGCCAGCUAGAGUGCGGUAGGGGAGAAUGGAAUUCCUGGUGUAGCGGUGGAAUGCGCAGAUAUCAGGAGGAACACCGAUGGCGAAGGCAGUUCUCUGGGCCGUUACUGACGCUGAGGAGCGAAAGCGUGGGGAGCGAACAGGAUUAGAUACCCUGGUAGUCCACGCCGUAAACGUUGGGCGCUAGAUGUGGGGACCAUUCCACGGUUUCCGUGUCGCAGCUAACGC
rnacentral:rRNA from 1 species